GCAAGUCGAACGAGGGCUCAGAGCUUGCUCUGAUGACCCGAGUGGCGAACGGGUGAGUAACACGUGACCAACCUGUCCGAGGGCGGGGGACAACCCGGAGGAAUCUGGGCUAAUAACGCAUAAAGUCUCGUCAUCGCAUGUCGAUGAGACCAAAGAGGCCCUCUUCUUGAAAGCUCUCACCCACGGAGGGGGUCGCGACGUAUCAGCUUGUUGGUGGGGUAAUGGCCCACCAAGGCGACGACGCGUAGCGGAUCUGAGAGGAUGAUC
rnacentral:rRNA from 1 species